GUCUAUUCGCCGGGCGCUGGUUCCUGUCUUGCGACAGGCGAAGAGGGAAGGCGACGGAUUGCCCGAAAGGCAGCCCGAGCGCAGCCGCCCCCGCGACCGUGAACGGAGAGGUCCUCCGACGCCACUGGCCGACAAGGCUGGGAAGGUGGAGGACCGAGGUGGAUUGCGAUCCCCAGAUCCGUGAGCCGGGAGACCUGCCAGCGCAUGACGACGGGC
rnacentral:ncRNA from 2 species